UGAACGCUAGCGGCAGGCUUAACACAUGCAAGUCGAGGGGCAGCGGGAUGUAGCAAUACAUUGCCGGCGACCGGCGGAUGGGUGGCGUAACGCGUAUGCAACCUACCUUAUACAGGGGAAUAACCUUUCGAAAGGGAGACUAACACCCCAUAGUAUUGAUUUAAGGCAUCUUAGAUUAAUUAAAUAUUUAUAGGUAUAAGAUGGGCAUGCGUAUGAUUAGCUAGUUGGUAAGGUAACGGCUUACCAAGGCGACGAUCAUUAGGGGUUCUGAGAGGAAGGUCCCCCACACUGGUACUGAGACACGGACCAGACUCCUACGGGAGGCAGCAGUGAGGAAUAUUGGUCAAUGGGCGCAAGCCUGAACCAGCCAUGCCGCGUGCAAGGAAGACGGCCUUAUGGGUUGUAAACUGCUUUUACAUAAGACUAACCGUAUAUUUGCGAAUAUACCUGAAUGUAUUAUGAGAAUAAGGAUCGGCUAACUCCGUGCCAGCAGCUGC
rnacentral:rRNA from 1 species